rnacentral:misc_RNA from 1 species
GAUGAAGAACGUAGCGAAAUGCGAUAAGUAGUGUGAAUUGCAGAAUUCAGUGAAUCAUCGAAUCUUUGAACGCACAUUGCGCCCCUUGGUAUUCCAUGGGGCAUGCCUGUUCGAGCGUCAUUUACACCCUCAAGCUCUGCUUGGUGUUGGGCGUCUGUCCCGCUGCUUUGCGCGGACUCGCCUCAAAGGUAUUGGCAGCGAUCAUGCCAGCUUCUCGCGCAGCACAUUGCGCUUCUUGAAGUUCUGGUGGAUCAGCGUCCAUUAAGCUUACCUUCAUGACUUGACCUCGGAUCAGGUAGGGAUACCCGCUGAACUUAAGCAUAUCAUAAGCGGAGGA